UACGGGGGGGGCAAGCGUUGUUCGGAAUUAUUGGGCGUAAAGAGCUCGUAGGCGGCCUGUUGCGUCCGCUGUGAAAGCCCGGGGCUUAACCCCGGGUCUGCAGUGGAUACGGGCAGGCUAGAGGUAGGUAGGGGAGAAUGGAAUUCCCGGUGUAGCGGUGAAAUGCGCAGAUAUCGGGAGGAACACCGGUGGCGAAGGCGGUUCUCUGGGCCUUACCUGACGCUGAGGAGCGAAAGCGUGGGGAGCGAACAGG
rnacentral:rRNA from 1 species